rnacentral:rRNA from 1 species
GGAAUAUUGGACAAUGGGCGCAAGCCUGAUCCAGCCAUCCCGCGUGAAGGAUUAAGGCCCUCUGGGUUGUAAACUUCUUUUUUGGGGGAAUAAAGACCGGAAUUCAUUCUGGCUUGAAGGUACCCCAAGAAUACGCACCGGCUAACUCCGUUCCAGCAGCCGCGGUAAUACGGAGGGUGCAAGCGUUAUCCGGAUUCACUGGGUUUAAAGGGUGCGUAGGUGGCUUUGUAAGUCAGUGGUGAAAUCUCGGAGCUUAACUCCGAAACUGCCAUUGAUACUGCUUAGCUUGAAUCAAGUAGAGGUGGAUGGAAUAUUACAUGUAGCGGUGAAAUGCUUAGAUAUGUAAUAGAACACCGAUUGCGAAGGCAGUUCACUAUGCUUGUAUUGACACUGAGGCACGAAAGCGUGGGGAUCAA